UUAGACUCUAAUUCGACCUGGCAUCGGGAACAUUUCUGUUGUUGGAAGCUAGAAUGCUCUCUUUCUGAAAUACUCGGACAUUUCCAGAGUUAAAGUCGACGAUCGGCCUCCUUAUCUACAGUUGAAAGCCCAUCUGUUGCGUCACUUGCAGAUAAGAUCUGCAAACACAUCUAAUGCGCUCUGAAAAAAGAAAAAAGCUUUUGGACAGGACCUUACAUGUCACUGACUGUUUAUACAGCCAAGUGGGUUUUAUUGGGCCAUAAAGUAGCUCUAAACAGCAGCACCCAGUUCACCAGUUCUUGGUUUUCAAAGCAAAGCAGACAACAAUUCAACGCCGGGGUCUUAUCAUCGCCAUCACCGUGCAGGGAGGGAAACAAGGAGUCCAAGGUGUGACUUCCAAUGAGCCCGGCCGCCACAGUAGAAGUUCAUACACUUCCUGUCCCAGUAAAAAAGCAGCAAAGCAGCAGAAAAGGAAAAGUCCAACAUGAUGACUCAGGUAUGCAGACAGUUCAUUAGCAAAUUACAUAUGCAUUAUUAAUGUACAUAUCAGAUGAGGGCCUAAAACCAAACACCUCCAGCGAUAAUUAAAUCCCGUACAAUAAAGGAAAGUUACUGUAAUUAAGUAAGUUGUCUUUCUGCUGCCUCCUCCUAAUCCUCUCCUCUGCAUUCAUUCCUCUUUGGACAGGCUUAUUGUCAGACUAGUUAGUAUUCAGAGAUUAUUUAACUUAAUGUUAGUUUGUUUAAAUUAAACUUAAUAACUA